rnacentral:rRNA from 1 species
UGUUUCGGCUAGGGGGCCAUCCCGGCUUACCAACCCGAUGCAAACUGCGAAUACCGGAGAAUGUUAUCACGGGAGACACACGGCGGGUGCUAACGUCCGUCGUGAAGAGGGAAACAACCCAGACCGCCAGCUAAGGUCCCAAAGUCAUGGUUAAGUGGGAAACGAUGUGGGAAGGCCCAGACAGCCAGGAUGUUGGCUUAGAAGCAGCCAUCAUUUAAAGAAAGCGUAAUAGCUCACUGGUCGAGUCGGCCUGCGCGGAAGAUGUAACGGGGCUAAACCAUGCACCGAAGCUGCGGCAGCGACGCUGAUGCGUUGUUGGGUAGGGGAGCGUUC